rnacentral:lncRNA from 1 species
CUGCUGCUGGGAGCUUGAGCUGAGAUGGACUGGUCUUCAUGGGCGCCCAAGGCGCUGGGUGCAGCUUUCCCCGAGACCCCCAGAUGGAAAGGAGGGAAGGAGGAACCCCACACACUCGCCUUUUGGGAGAAGAUCGGCGCGCACCCCAGAGUGCCCCAAGCCUUUGGAAUCUGCCUGCUGAGCGGAGCGCGCGAGCGUGGUGGACAGGUCCCGAACUUGGCCAGCGGGCUUUCUUGGCAACUUGCUUUGCGCAGUUCUCCAUGGAACCCUGGACCCACUGUGCUCCCGGCGCCUUGCCUUUUUUUUCCUUUUUCUUUCUCUCACUCUCUCUUUUUAAAUUUAUGAACUCGAAAUGAAGCGGAAAGCAGAUAUGCGCGUCAGCAUACUUUGGCGGACCAGUCCCAGGGCUUACCAGUCCCAUCGUAUCUCUGACGGUGCAUAUCAGGAUCCCCAUUGAUCAGAUGCUGAAACCAUGGCUUAGAAUAGCUGCGAUGAAGCUGAGCUGCAAUUCAAACCCAGACACAGCUUUCUACAGAGAAGCACCUUUCUCCAGAUCUUCAUUGCCAUUUUGGACACACAGCUCCAAACCCAAAAUGUGUCCACUGGAUCAACCCACGAUGCAAACAACUGCUUUCUAAGGAAAAGCCAGGUUUCUAGGAGGCAGCCCACUUCUGAUGUGUCCUUAAGUUAACAGGCUGCGGUGGACAGCAUGUGGUGGGUGGAGAAAGAUGGCAGAUGAGAAAUUCAAGGAGAUUCACCACAGAGCAGCUUUCUGGUUUCAGCUGUUCUGGGGUGCCAU